ACAUUUCCAUCCAAUGCGACCACUAUUGCUACAUCUUGUUUAGGUUUUGGGGGCAAAAAAGAUUUGUAUAGCUUGGGAAUCUGGCUGCUCUCAACGGGAAGGGCGGUCUCGGAGAUCGCUAUGCCCGAGACAUCCCUUAUUNNNNNNNNNNNUCAGCAUCAUGAACAAGAGAAACAUGAGAGAGCGCCUCAUCUCUGAGAUUUGGAUCCAAACUGAUAAAUUCCAAGGCUUGUUAUUGUUUUAACAAUG
rnacentral:misc_RNA from 1 species